GGUUUUGGCAUAGUGGUUUGAGCACUGGACUACAACUCUGGAGACCAGGGUUCAAUUCCCUGCUCAGCUA
rnacentral:tRNA from 1 species